rnacentral:rRNA from 1 species
AAAGCUUGCUUUUGAUGGGCGUCGACCGGCGCACGGGUGAGUAACGCGUAUCCAACCUGCCCAUCACUUGGGAAUAACCUUGCGAAAGUAAGACUAAUACCCAAUGACAUCCCACGAAGGCAUCCGAAUGGGAUUAAAGAUUUAUCGGUGAUGGAUGGGGAUGCGUCUGAUUAGCUUGUUGGCGGGGUAACGGCCCACCAAGGCAACGAUCAGUAGGGGUUCUGAGAGGAAGGUCCCCCACAUUGGAACUGAGACACGGUCCAAACUCCUACGGGAGGCAGCAGUGAGGAAUAUUGGUCAAUGGGCGAGAGCCUGAACCAGCCAAGUAGCGUGCAGGAUGACGGCCCUAUGGGUUGUAAACUGCUUUUAUAAGGGAAUAAAGUGAGUCUCGUGAGACUUUUUGCAUGUACCUUAUGAAUAAGGACCGGCUAAUUCCGUGCCAGCAGCCGCGGUAAUACGGAAGGUCCGGGCGUUAUCCGGAUUUAUUGGGUUUAAAGGGAGCGUAGGCCGGAGAUUAAGCGUGUUGUGAAAUGUAGAGGCUCAACCUCUGCACUGCAGCGCGAACUGGUCUUCUUGAGUACGCACAACGUGGGCGGAAUUCGUGGUGUAGCGGUGAAAUGCUUAGAUAUCUCGAAGAACUCCGAUUGCGAAGGCAGCUCACGGGAGCGCAACUGACGCUGAAGCUCGAAAGUGCGGGUAUCGAACAGGAUUAGAUACCCUGGUAGUCCGCACGGUAAACGUUGGAUGCCCGCUGUUGGCCUGAAUAGGCCAGCGGCCAAGCGAAAGC